AUGCGGAUAACGGUGUUAAUCCUAUCAACGUUACUGGUCACUAUUCUCAACGGUUUACCAAUUGUACCUGUAGUCGAAGAUUCAAUAUCCCCAGAAGAAGUCCCUGAACCGUCUCCAGAAAUUGAAGAAAAUACAGUACCCCCGCCACGUGUCAUAUCUCCACGUGUCGAUGUGAGUGUUGAUGUUAAUGAAGACGGAGUGUUGGAUAUUGAUGAAAUACGAUAUGCAGCAUUUGUGCAUCACGGACUGUCGGCUUCGGUAGUCGAGGACUUGUUUAAGCAGGUAGACACAAACCGUGACAACGUGCUAGAUGCCCGAGAAUUCGAUGCGAUUCGAAUGUUGGUACUAGAAAAAGCUGAAAAUGCAGCUCUGAGAUAUCUUCAAAAUGUCGAUACCGACCGGGAUGGGCUAUUAUCUCUCCAGGAAGCACAAAUCUAUUUGUUAAGGGAAUAUGGAAUUGGAUAUCACGAUGUUGCUCGUCUGUGGAAGCUAGUUCCAGCUGAUUUGAGCGAUAGGAUGAACUCUACAUUGUUCAGUAAGCUCAGACGAAGAGUUCGGGGAAUGACGAUUCGAUUGGCUCGACAGAUUAUGAAGAACGCCGACCUAAACGGAGACGGUCACAUUUCUGUUGACGAGGCGCAAGCCAUCGCAUUUGAGCAAGAAGGGAUUGGAGCCGGUGACGUGGCAUCUAUGGUCGGAAGUGUAGAUGAGAAUAUGGAUGGAGAGCUCAAUGCGCCAGAGUUUGCAGAUUUCGAAAGAAUUAUCAGGGCGAGAGCAAUUGAGAAUAGCAAGAAAGCUAUGCGAGUUGUGGACGCUGACAAUAGUGGGACCUUGACACUUGAUGAAGCAAAAAGAGUUGCCUUCGAGCAUUACGGAUUCGAUGAAGCCACAUUGGCACCGUUCUUUGGUCAAGCUGAUGAGAAUGAAGAUGGGCAACUGGAUAAUGUAGAGUUUGCCGGCUUUCGAUCAGUCAUUCGUGCUCGAUCAGUCAGAGAUGCCAUGGAUAAAAUGAAGAGAAUUGAUACAAAUGGGGAUGGUCUUGUAUCAAAUGCAGAAGCCACUGAUUCCACGAAAAAGGAGGAUGAUAUGGAUUCUGAGGAGACUUUAGCGCUAUUCAAUAUUGCUGAUCAGAACAAAAGCGGAAAGUUGGACAAAGUAGAGCUAGCAGAUUUUAAUCGAUUGGUCAGGUUAAGCUCCAUUAAAUUUGCAACCGAUCAUUUUAAGGAAUUCGAUUUGGACGGAAAUGACGCUGUAACAUUUGACGAGAUUGCUUUGCUCAUUGAGCAAAAAUAUGGAAUCCCCAGAAGCAUGAUUAAGACAUUUUUCGAUCGCAUCGAUGUGGAUGGCUCCGGUGAUUUGAUGCCUGCGGAAAUUGUAGAUUUUAGGUGAGAGAAAAAACUGUUUUAAAUUUUUUUUCAGAACGAAGGUUCUGUAAAUUCAAAGUUAAACUUCCAGAAAGUAAUAUUUUCAGACAUCUCAUUCGAAACCACGUGUCUCAGCAACGACAAGAAAAACCUCCACCAUCCACUACGCCAAUCACCACAACCACUGAGGACACCCCACUAAUAACCACACCCGAAACUACAAUAACCCCAACGACUACAGUACCCGAAGAAGUUACAGUAACCACAAAAAAACCAAAACAAAAAUUGAAGCCUGUGGAGGUGGCCGAGUUAAUUGAUGGUAUAGCAAAUGACGUCAUAGCUCAGGAUAUAUUAAGAGAAGUGGUUGCACCCAAAGCUACAGUGCUCAAAACUACGGUACCUACAACUACAGUAAUCCAGACAACAGAAACACCAAGUACUAAAUCGAAAACUACGAAAAAAGUGAAGGUUACCACAACUACUGUUUCUACCACCACCAUCACCACAAGCACACCACCUUCCACCACAUCACCCACCACUACAGUAACCCCUGUUGCCACGUCAUCAGCGACCCCAAAACCAUCAAAAAGAACUACUACACGGCGACCAAUGACGGCAUCGAAAGAACUCGUGGUUGAGGAAAUUAUUUAUGAGGACGAAAAUGGAAACCGGAUGAAUCCUAAAAAGCGAAAAUCUGGAAAAGCCGACGAUGUGUCAUAUGAGGAGAUUAUCGAGUAUGUUGAUGAGCCGGCAACUAAUUAA